ACUGCAGUAGCUCAGGUGGGGAUCGGGGGAGGAGCCCCUGGGGGCUUAAGGAGAGUGGCCAGUAAUAAGUGGGAGCCCCAUCGUAGGUAACUGGAAGCCAGUUUUGGGCAGGAAGUACCACCUAGGAGGGGAGGUUGGUGGACUGGGAAAGAAAAAAAUGGAAAAUGGAAUUAGGGAUCUGACUCCGAGGCAAGGUGAAUUGGGACACACAGAGAAAGGGGCAGUCUGAUUGGAGGAAAAUUGUGACUUGAGAGUGGGAGAGGUUGAAAUAACUUUUAUGGAUCAUACACUUGCUAUGCAGUGGGGAUGGGGGCUAGAACUCUGAGGUCUGGGAGGUGCACUGGGGUCUGGAAGAGACUGGGAUGAGAAGGGAGACCACUUAAUGGGAAAGAAAAAGAGGGAAAUUUGGGGUCAAACCAUCCAAGAUCAGACCCCUCUACCUCUUCCAGCUCUGAUCUCCCUUCCUCCUGCCUCAUAUCUCAAUUCUGCUGUCUUUUUUCCAUGAUACCAUAAACAAUGAUACCCUGUCCAUUGCACCAAAGUUUAUACUAGCCAGUGUUCUGUUAGAUGAGAGGUUGUCACUUUCCCACCUCUCCCAGGCCUCUCCCAUCUUGGCUGUUUCCCGUUUUUCACAUUUUGCCUUUCCUAGGUAGUAAGGAUAGUCCUUAGGUCAAUGCCAGCAAUAUCCAAGGAUAUAGGGGAGCAGGUGACUGUACAAAGCCACUUCCAGGCUUUGUACAUAAGACUGAGAAAUGGGAAACCUGCCAAUGCUCAUCCCAGCUUUACCUGCCUGGGGCAGCGUGGGGUUGAGGCCACCAUCAUCUGGAAGGUUGCUGCAAGAGCCAUCUAGGCAGGCCCCUAGGACUGUGCCAGGUAAGAGGGACUCCUGGUCUGCCUGGGUGUCUGCACUGGAUACCUGUCAACCUUUAUAUAUAUAUUCAUGGCUUGAGCCAUAUAGAAUCUGGAAGACACAUUUUCUGCAAAGAAAUUAGACCGUCUCAAGAUUUGAUUUAAUCUUUGGAGUCUCCACUGGUUAGAUUUUUUGAUUCCAUCAUGAUUGUUGAUUUUUGAUUCCAUCUAGAUUGUUGACUAGACUUACUUUCUUGUUGAAGUUGCCUUUCCAAAUGUCUUCCCCAACCCCCAAGCCCCUGCAUGUGAACCUGUGUAAGCAAUAAUUAGUGUCCUUCAUGGGGCCAUGCUCUUUUUGCACUCCUGGGCUAUUGCUACCCUGGAUCUGGAUUCUAAUGGGCACCAAGAUUAAGAUUAUUUGUGUAGUUUGCUUAAAAGUCAAGAACUGCAGGGCACGGAUGGUGGCACAUGCCUGUAAUUCCAGCUACUCUGCAGGUUGAAGCUGGAGGUUUGCAAGUUCAAGGCCAGUCUGGGCAGUUGAGCAAGACCCUGUCUCAAAAUAAAAAAUAGGAGGGGCCAGGAGACAUAGCUCAGGAUUUAAUCCCCUGAACAGUAGAAUAGUUGCAGGUAUUUAACAGAUGUUUCCAUUAGAUAAAGGGAAGCAAAACAAGGGGACAGACAGUCCAGAAGCCUCAUAAAGCGAGCAGAUGUUGGAAUUUUCUUAACAAGUGUUUGCCACAUGGACAAUGGAACAGGCAUUCAGGAAGAGGGAAGAUGUUGAAAAUGGUUUCCCUCUGGUCCCGAAGCCACUGAGUGCAGUGGGCUAGUGUUUAAUUGAAACACGUGACAACUAGAGAAGAAGCCCCCCACCCCAACGGCCUCGCGGGCCUGAAGAAUGCCCCAGAAGGAAGGUCUGAUUAGAAGAGACUGGAAUGAGUUUCUUCACAGAAAGCAUAAGGCACCAGCCUUGGAAUCCACUCCCAGGAACAGUAAUUCUUUGUGCCUAAGAGCAAAAUCAAGAACGUGUGACAGAAAGGAGCCAGUUGGUUAAUACAUCCCUUCUCUCCACCAACCCCUCAUUCAGAGCAUGCAAGGCAGUUUUCCAGCUGUGCCACCCACACAUAGGGGAUAGGUAAGUGUACCUCACGCCUUCCCCCGGUUGUCAGAGCAGCAAUGAGAUGCAGGGCUGAUGGGCUGAGGAAGAGGUUCUCUGCCAGGGUCCAUUCAGCUGCUCUUCUAGUAUUUUGCCCUGAGAAUUGAAUGUAAUGGGAAGGGUCUCCCUACCUGCUGACAAGUGAGCAAAGGCAGAGAACCUGGAUCCAUCUAAGAUCCUUGUCCUUUUUAUUUUUUUAGUCCUGUGCAGGUCAACUGGCACUAAAAGAAAAGCUGUUUUGUAGCAAUGCAGGUAGCUGGCAACAAAGGCAAGAGGACAGGGCAGUGAGAAUGAGCCUCACCACUCCUGAACAGGACCACCACCCUGGGUGUCCUGAGGGUGAGUAAAAAGCACAUUCUGUUCUCUGCGUGCUUGAGAUGACUCGCCUUUCCCUUCAGCCCCAGAUGCUCUGCUCUUCAGGCCCCAAAGAGGCUUAAAUAUCAGCUCUGACCUUUACCUGCAUAAUACCACAACCCUGGACUUCCUGCCUCCCCCCUCAAAAAAAAAAAAAAAAAAAUCCCCACCAAAAUUUCAGAUCUGUAAAACCUUGCUAAAACCAAAAGGUGUGCAUCAACUGACUGCCCUCCCUGGGAUGCUGGACAAGGGGACAGAAGAAAAACAGAACCUGGCCAGCCAGGGUCCUUUUAGGAAAAGCUGGGAUCACAGGCCUCUAGCUGCUGGGCCCUCUGAGGAAUCUGCCUGGUCCUGUGCCUUAGGAAGGGCCCUGAGUCCUUGGGAAACUGUUUUUUCCAGACUCUGAGCCUUUUGGAAGUGGCUAAGCCAAAGUCCCUUGGCUCUUCUCCCUAAACUUAUUAUGGGCUAUGAGGCCAAAGCCCUCCCCUCCAGGGCCUGGGAGUUGUGGGGGAGUCAGCUUGCUGGCUGAGGGAGUGCCUGCUGUAACUUGUCUCUGUGGCAGAAGCAAUACUGGCUUGUGGAAAACAAACACACACUAGGUGGGCCCUGGCCUCUGAGAAGGUCCCUGGAGACGCUCUGGGGACUUCACUGUGAAGCACAUAUGGCUGCAGCCCCUAGGCAGGGUCCUAUCUUGGUCCAGGUGUGGAUCGCUCUGAGAGACAAAGGCU